UAACAUGCUUGAUGCUCAGAUUGAUGCAGUGUAUGCUGCAUUAGAAGAUGCCGGAUAUAAGAAGAUGGAAGUCAUAGUUACUGAAACAGGCUGGGCUUCACAUGGAGAUGAUAAUGAAGCUGCUGCAACAGCUGAUAAUGCAAGAACAUAUAAUUAUAACCUGCGUAAAAGGCUUGCAAAAAAGAAAGGUACUCCUCUCAGGCCAAAAAUUGUGGUAAAGGCAUAUAUUUUUGCAGUAUUUAAUGAGGAUUUGAAACCUGGGGCGACUUCUGAGAGGAAUUAUGGACUGUUCAAGGCUGAUGGGAGCAUUUCAUAUGAUAUUGGGUUUCAUGGACUUAAAUCUUCAUCUGCAGAUAUUUGUCUAUGAAGGCUGUGCAAGAUCAAGCUUUGCCCAGUUCUUGUUUUUUGACGCUGACAAUCUCAGCUGUGGCAUCACUUCUAUUUUUAAGACAAUGAUGUUGUGUUAAGAAGAGUGAAACCAGCAUUCAGAAUCCAAAGUCGAUAAGUUCUAGGUUCGAUACCAUUCAUGCUACUCUUUAAACGUUGAUAUAUACGAACAUUUAUUAUUGUAUUUGCAUAGAAUAUCUGCCAGAAAUAACUGAUUAUUAUCUAUCUCAACCAUGUAAAUUUAGUUUUUUGCCAGAUAGAACUUCUCUUUUCUGGAGUUGAUGGUGCUUCCUC
rnacentral:misc_RNA from 1 species